rnacentral:rRNA from 1 species
UACGAAGGUGGCAAGCGUUGUUCGGAUUUACUGGGCGUACAGGGAGCGUAGGCGGUUUGUUAAGUCGGCUGUGAAAGCCCGGGGCUCAACCCCGGAGGGUCAGCCGAUACUGGCAGACUAGAGUACGGAAGAGGGUACUGGAAUUCCCGGUGUGAGCGGUGAAAUGCGUAGAGUAUCGGGAGGAACACCUGAGGCGAAGGCAGGUCUCCUGGGCAUUAACUGACCGCUGAGGAGCGAAAGCAUGG